rnacentral:lncRNA from 10 species
GCUUCUCUUACUCUAUGUCUCCACCAAAUGAGGUACUUCUGCAUCUACUUCUGCUCACAGAACUGCCUAGGUGGUCCACCAAGAAGGAAAAUUGUUUACUCUGGUAUCUUCCUAAGAAACUGUACACUUAAAUUGUUUUGUCUUCAAGGAGAUUCAUAGAAAGGACUCUAACAAGUUUCUGAUAACUUUAAGAUUAUACCAUUAAACUAGCAGGUAAAGGAAGAUUUUCAUGAUUCACUGACUGAGGACAAUCAAAUUCUUCACCACGUAGAACCUAGACAUUGGGUCUUUGGAAAGGACAUCAGAGAAAGACUGCCAUUAAGCUCCAUUGGAAGAGACCAUAUCAAGUUCUUUUCUGCAGCAAACCAUCAGGCUCUCAAGUCUUGGAUCUAUGUCUCUCAACUCAAAAGAGCUCCUCCAGACUCCUGGAACUGUAUACCUAUUGGAGACUCUAAGGUAAAGCUCACCAGGGAAGAUUUCCCCCAGGAGCAGUUGGCAUCCUAGACUUCAACAGCUUUCGUAAGAUUGUGGAUCAAGACUUCUCUGCCAUCAUGAAAGUCUUAUCUUUUCCCUUUCUUCCCAAUUUCCUGCUGUCCCAGUCCCUUUCUUUUACUUAUAGGAAAAUCCAUGGGGCCAUAAUCUGUGGAUGGCUUUAGCUAAGUCUUAUGCUGUAGUGAAAAAACAGAGCAAUUGUUGGGUUUAUGAAGAUAAGCUAGUUUCUACUGAGGAAAGAUUCCAGUGGCAUUCCUGGGGGCUCAGUCUUGGUACUAGCAGGGUACUGGUAGUAUGGAAUUUGAAAGUAAUCCAUAAAAUGAGAAAAAUCUUGGGUUUGACCAACCAGUCCCCACAGAGGUUCAGGUGAGUAGAAGUCAUCUUUUGAAAACACUUAAUAAAACAUCAUGCAGUUUUGGAUCCUGUUUCCUUAGACACUGCCACCAAAUACAUAAAGGAAAUUUCUCAGAGGAAAGAAACAUAUGACAUGUUCAUAGGAGCAGCAAACCAUUGGUUUGCAGGUAGGCUUGGCUUUUCCAAGGUGUUCUAACCUUUAUGCUCUUCUAAUGGUUCUCCAGAUUACUAUGACUUGUGUUAACAAGAUAAUGACAACAUUGGAUACCUCUUUAAAUCAGCAAACUGCAGUUCUUAAUCAUUAUCACCUCCUGAACAAAAACCAUGACCAACGGUACUCAAAUGCUUUUGAGCUGCCUGUAAGGGAGGAGACCACCCCUCAUAUUGUCUUAUGCCCAAUUUCUGCCUCCAAAUAAAGAAGAAGUAAAAACUAAAAGGCAGAAACGAAAUCCACAAGCAGACAGCCCGGUGCCACACCCUGGGCCUGGUAGUUAAAGAUCGAUGCCUGACCUAAUCAGUUAUGUUAUCUAUAGAUUACAGAUAUCGUAUAGGAAAGCACUGUGAAAAUCCCUGUCCUGUUUUGUUCCGAUCUAAUUACCAGUGCAUGCAACCCCCAGUCAUGUACCCCUGGCUUGCUCAAUCGAUCACAACCCUCUCAAGUGGACCCCCUUAGAGUUGUGAGCCCUUAAAAGGGGCAGGAAUUGCUCACUCAGGGAGCUCAGCUCUUGAGACAGGAGUCUUGCCAAUGCUCCCGGCCGAAUAAACUGCUUCCUUCUUUAACUCGGUGUCUGAGGGGUUUUGUCUGCAUCUUGUCCUGCUACACCUAUAUUGCCUGAACUUUGAUUUGGGUCAAAUUGAUUUGGUUGGCAGAGGCUCCUGUUAGAGAGUACACCUCAGGCUUUUGGAAUUUUUGGUGUUGUCCUUCUGAUAGUCAUCAUAGUAGCUCCCCUGGUGUACCAUAUCCUCUCAAGUCUUAAAUAUUUGUAUGCAGCCAUCCACUGAGUGUUGAGUGGUCUCACUUUGACUUGAUCAUCAAGAACAUAAAGAAUUAUUCAACUGGUGUGAUGUCAUGACUUGUGAAUUUCAUGCUGAGACCAAAUAAGUUUGUUUAUGAUGGUGACAGAGAGUGGUAUCAAUGCCCCAGGUUUUGAGAGGUGGCAUUGUUAAACUAAAUUUGGGGGG